rnacentral:lncRNA from 1 species
GGGGCAAAGUUCAAUAUCACUGCCAAGAAUGCAGCUGCAUGUGAACUCAGAUGUGGUUCACUGCAUUCUCCCAGGUGAAUGGGCUCCUCUAAAAAGAUGGGAGAUGUCGGCCUCUCCAGUGCACAGCACACUCAGAAUUACAAAUCUAAGGUUAUGUUAAUGGACAAGAAACCGAAUUGCCUUCACAUACAGGGAUAUCUACCACCUCUCCAUCAGCAGACCAGUGUCAAAGAUGUCCUGGUUAUGAGAGGUAAAAUGAGGACUCCUGGGCCUAGAUUGAAUGAACAUCCAAUUAGGAUCAAUCAAGAAAGACUUCAUGUCCCACAGCAGCUGAGUUCUCAGGUUAAACAAAGACUAUCUUUCAGUGGCCUCCUUAUGCAGUAAGAAUUUACUGUUCAGAUCUUUCUACAAGAUACGUCUUACUCUUUAGAUUUCUGGCCACUUAGAUUAGAGCAACCCAACCACUGAAGCCAUCUCUGUCACAUGAUGCUUGUGGGCAGAAGCCAGCACUUCUAUUCUCCUCCAAGUUGGACGCUUCCCUCAAAUCUCAGCCAGCUGAGAAAACAUCCUGAUCUGAAGUUUGUCCAGGCUGUCCUGGGUGAGGAUGGAGGCACACAGCCACUGUCCCUAGUUUGUGACAUCUCGCUCUCUGUGAGAUUGAAAGGUUUCAGUUCUUCAAAAUAAUAAAAUACCUUCAGUCACAAGGGACAGGUUUGUAGGGGAGGGGGAACAAAAACAUGCAACUGGUUAGAAGAAUUCCUUUUGGAAAAAAAAUGUCACACAUACACCAAGACAUCAGGACUUUCCGGCACCACCUUCCCCUCAGGGAUUCACAGAGAGGCAAUCAUUUUCAAAGGUGAAGAAGUGAGAUUUGCUCUCUGAGUUUGGUAUUUACCCAGUGUGGCCAGGACAGAAAGUCUUUUCUCCUCUUUGGCAUGAAUUGUUUUAAAUGUGGAAGAUGGAUGCCUACAAAAAAUACGAAGUUCUGGGAAAAAAAAAAAAAAAGAUCUGUUUUUCUGUCUCACAUACCAGCCCCGAUAUGUACUUAGCGACCAAAGAGUGUGUAAGAAAGAAUUCAGUGGACCUUGGUUUUGGGGUAAAGUUUGUGGGUGGCAGCAUCAGCUGUGUCCCCCAUCCAUCGAAGUCUAGAAAGGGUCAGAAAUGUAGGAUAUUCCUGUAGCUUCUUCCAACAUGCUUUUUAAAAAGCUAAAAGCAAUCUUGAAAGUGAAUUUAUAUCACUAUUGAAACACCACUUGCUACAAAGACAGGGCAACCACAAAAUAAAUACAACACGAGCAAAUAGACAUCAAACAUCAGCUGGAUACUUUCUUCUUCUUCUUUCUUCUUCUUCUUCUUCUUCUUCUUUCUUCUUCUUUCUUCUUCUUUCUUCUUCUUUCUUCUUCUUCUUCUUCUUCUUCUUCUUCUUCUUCUUCUUCUUCUUCUUCUUCUUCUUCUUCUUCUUCUUCUCCUCCUCCUCCUCCUCCUCCUCCUCCUCCUCCUCCUCCUCCUGCUUCGUGAUAAAAAUGUUUCCUUACUAAGUUGAGACUUCACUAUUAACUGAUUGGAGUUGACUAAGGGGUUAACAGCACUCAUUUUACAUAAGGAGAUGAUCACCUGUAACCAUGUACUAUAUGAUAAUGUACACCAAUAUACUAUGCUUCACCAUAUAUGUCA